rnacentral:rRNA from 1 species
AUUGAACGCUGGCGGCAUGCCUUACACAUGCAAGUCGAACAGCAGCACGGGUGCUUGCACCUGGUGGCGAGUGGCGAACGGGUGAGUAAUACAUCGGAACGUACCUUAUCGUGGGGGAUAACGCAGCGAAAGCUGUGCUAAUACCGCAUACGCCCUGAGGGGGAAAGCGGGGGAUCGCAAGACCUCGCGCGAUUAGAGCGGCCGAUGCCUGAUUUGCUUGUUGGUGGGGUAAAAGCCCACCAAGGCGACGAGCAGUAGCUGGUCUGAGAGGACGAUCAGCCACACUGGGACUGAGACACGGCCCAGACUCCUACGGGAGGCAGCAGUGGGGAAUUUUGGACAAUGGGGGCAACCCUGAUCCAGCAAUGCCGCGUGAGUGAAGAAGGCCUUCGGGUUGUAAAGCUCUUUUGUCAGGGAAGAAACACCGGCUCUAACACAGUCCGGGAAUGACGGUACCUGAAGAAUAAGCACCGGCUAACUACGUGCCAGCCGCCGCCGUAA